rnacentral:rRNA from 1 species
AUCCCAGCUUGCUGGGGGAUUAGUGGCGAACGGGUGAGUAACACGUGAGUAACCCGCCCUUAACUCUGGGAUAAGCCUGGGAAACUGGGUCUAAUACCGGAUAUGACUCCUCAUCGCAUGGUGGGGGGUGGAAAGCUUUAUUGUGGUUUUGGAUGGACUCGCGGCCUAUCAGCUUGUUGGUGAGGUAAUGGCUCACCAAGGCGACGACGGGUAGCCGGCCUGAGAGGGUGACCGGCCACACUGGGACUGAGACACGGCCCAGACUCCUACGGGAGGCAGCAGUGGGGAAUAUUGCACAAUGGGCGAAAGCCUGAUGCAGCGACGCCGCGUGAGGGAUGACGGCCUUCGGGUUGUAAACCUCUUUCAGUAGGGAAGAAGCGAAAGUGACGGUACCUGCAGAAGAAGCGCCGGCUAACUACGUGCCAGCAGCCGCGGUAAUACGUAGGGCGCAAGCGUUAUCCGGAAUUAUUGGGCGUAAAGAGCUCGUAGGCGGUUUGUCGCGUCUGCCGUGAAAGUCCGGGGCUCAACUCCGGAUCUGCGGUGGGUACGGGCAGACUAGAGUGAUGUAGGGGAGACUGGAAUUCCUGGUGUAGCGGUGAAAUGCGCAGAUAUCAGGAGGAACACCGAUGGCGAAGGCAGGUCUCUGGGCAUUAACUGACGCUGAGGAGCGAAAGCAUGGGGAGCGAACAGGAUUAGAUACCCUGGUAGUCCAUGCCGUAAACGUUGGGCACUAGGUGUGGGGGACAUUCCACGUUUUCCGCGCCGUAGCUAACGCAUUAAGUGCCCCGCCUGGGGAGUACGGCCGCAAGGCUAAAACUCAAAGGAAUUGACGGGGGCCC